rnacentral:rRNA from 1 species
UGCGCAGGCGGUUAUAUAAGACAGAUGUGAAAUCCCCGGGCUCAACCUGGGAACUGCAUCCAAAACUGGCGAGCUAGAGUAUGGUAGAGGGUGGUGGAAUUUCCUGUGUAGCGGUGAAAUGCGUAGAGAUCUGGAGGAAUACCGAUGGCGAAGGCAGCCAUCUGGCCUAAUACUGACGCUGAGGUACGAAAGCAGUGGGAGCAAACA